UAAUUGAAGAGUUUGAUCAUGGCUCAGAUUGAACGCUGGCGGCAGGCCUAACACAUGCAAGUCGAGCGGUAACAGGGGAAGCUUGCUUCUCGCUGACGAGCGGCGGACGGGUGAGUAAUGUAUGGGGAUCUGCCCGAUAGAGGGGGAUAACCACUGGAAACGGUGGCUAAUACCGCAUAAUCUCUUAGGAGCAAAGCAGGGGAACUUCGGUCCUUGCGCUAUCGGAUGAACCCAUAUGGGAUUAGCUAGUAGGUG
rnacentral:rRNA from 1 species